AUCUGGCAACACUGGUUACCGUGUGCAGCUGUAUGCGGAAGAAGAAACGAGCUCGUCAACACUGUCAACGACACAGCUUCUGGUGUGCCAACACCGACCAGUCGUCGGAUUGAGAAGUACUGUUUUUUACCGGCUGAUACCUGACAUCCACCCGGACGCUGUGUCGAUUUCGAUGGACGUGAUGUUCAGGAUUUCUGUGAUAAUCACGCUGUUUGUGUGGUUUGACAGCAUCCCUGGUGGAUCACUUGAUCCGGAUGUAAACCAUGUUCCAGCACUAAACCUCACCCUGGUUAGUCCAGGGAAACCCAAUACAUCUGUGAUUAACACCAAAUUUGUUGACGGGGUGAAUCCAGCUCCAAAAGUACCAGAAGCCAACGAAACGGAGGUCAAUCCAGAUAAACCCAUUGUGACAGAUCCACCUGUGGUUAAACCCAAACUUGGUGAGGGGAUGAGUCCAGCUCCAAAAGUAACAGAAGUCAAACAUGUGGAGGUCAGUCCAGUGCAACCCAAUCCGGGUAAGCCGAUUCCCAAUUCUAAUGACGUGGCCGGACCAGCUGCUGCCACCAAAGUCAAAGAGUCGGGGACAGUACAGGUGUGGAAGGGAAAGGUACACCUGAUAAGAAAUCCCCAACUGAAGAGAUUGUGGAUGGUGCAAACACUGCCGAAGGUGAAGAUGGGGGAAAAGACAGUUCAGAGAUUGCUGGAGAGGUGGCUGAGCAAGCUACGUCUCAUGAAAAGGAGGCUGUAGGGUCUAAUAAAUUGCCCACAGAGCCGAAAAACGCCGGGGAGAAGAAGGAGCAUGUGCAGCUCGGCGACAAGGUUGAAUCGGAGAGCAGUCACUUCUUUGCCUACCUCGUGUGUGCUGCCUUCCUGGUGGCCUUGCUCUACGUCGGUUACCACAACAAGCGCAAGAUAUUUGCCUUUGUUUUGGAAGGCAAGCGUUCCAAAACAGCCCGCCGGC